rnacentral:rRNA from 1 species
UACAGAGGCCCCAAGCGUUAGGCGGAAUCACUAGGCUUAAAGCGUGUGUAGGCGGGUCGUUAAGUACCUUGUGAAAUCCCACGGCUUAACCGUGGAACCGCUCGGUAUACUGGCGAUCUUGAGCCACUUAGGGGCUACCGGAACGGAUGGUGGAGCGGUGAAAUGCGUAGAUAUCAUCUGGAACGCCAAUGGUGAAAACAGGUAGCUGGGAGUGUGCUGACGCUGAGACACGAAAGCCAGGGGAGCGAACGGG